rnacentral:tRNA from 1 species
GGAGGUAUAGCCCGGUGGUAGAGUGCGUGCUUAGCAUGCAUGAGACUGUUGUGAACUGGGGAGGUUCAAUCCUCAGUACCUCCA